GAUGAACGCUGGCGGCGUGCCUAAUACAUGCAAGUCGAACGAGGUGCUUUUGUAGCAAUACGAGAGUAUCCUAGUGGCGAACGGGUGAGUAACGCGUUGGUGACCUACCCCAAAGUGUGGGAUAACAGUCCGAAAGGAUUGCUAAUACCGCAUGUGGUCUUCGGGUUUAGAAACUGAUGACUAAAGGAGCAAUUCGCUUUGGGAGGGACCUGCGUCCCAUCAGCUAGUUGGUGAGGUAAUGGCUCACCAAGGCUACGACGGGUAGGGGACCUGAGAGGGUGACCCCCCCACAAUGGAACUGAAACACGGUCCAUACACCUACGGGUGGCAGCAGUAGGGAAUAUUGCACGAUGGGCGAAAGCCUGAUGCAGCAACGCCGCGUGUGCGAUGAAGGCCUUCGGGUCGUAAAGCACUUUUCUGGGAGAUGAGCAAGGACAGUAUCUCAGGAAUAAGUCUCGGCUAACUACGUGCCAGC
rnacentral:rRNA from 1 species